rnacentral:lncRNA from 1 species
UUCACGUGGCAUCUCUGGGCAGAGGGGCCACACCUGCCACUGGACCGCCGGCCCGAGAGCCCGACGCCUGCCGGGCAUCCCCACUGGUGGUGUGAGGACCUCUCUGCUUACCACACCCCAGGCGGGCCCACCUGCCCCACCACGUCCCACAUCCACCGGCUCCCCAUGUUGCCGACGGCCACUCCAUCCUGCCGGGGACUCAGGGCGAGUUCUGAAGCCACUCGACCCCCCCCCUUCUCCCAUCUCCACAUGCAGCCCGUUGGGGAGCCGGGAAGCAGCCCUGUCCCUCCCCGCUACUCACUGCCUAGGUUUGAAAAGACGUCAUCUCCCGCCGAGUAAAUCACGUGCACACGUACAGAAUUUCGUAUAAGAUAAAGACACUGCCAUCAACGGGGAAAAGAUGGUGCCGGGAGUAGAACUGUUACAGAUAAGCUCCCCAGCCCUCUGCCUCUCUCCAGCUUCGGCACCUGGAGCACGGCUCGUUCCGGGAUCUGUGUGCUCUGAGAAGCUCUAGCAGUUCCCCUGCUUGGGAGAGGCAGGGAGGCUGCAGCCACUCUGGGUCGAGAUGCUGUAUUACUUAGAUAAAUAAGGAUUUAGCUUAUAAAAUUGAAGCUUUCCUCCUCCCAAAAUGCAGAAAGUGUUUUCUGAUCUUUCAUUUAGAACUUCUUGUUCCUCAGUGGUUUGCAGAUGGUCACACCCUGUCCAGCCCCAGCCUCGCCCUCCCAGCACCCACGCCCCUGCCCGCAGGCCACCGCUUCCGAGCAGACUCCCCAGCCCUGUGGAGGGAGAAGGCGAGUGGAGAGGAUGCUGCUCCCGAGAUGGGGGCAGGACCCCAGGCUCCAGCGCAUCCCUGUGGACUUCCACGCCUCCUUCAGGCCGGGCCACGGGGACCCCCCACGCAUCUCCCUUGGCUGUGUCUGCCACAGGGGAACCCUUUCCAUGCCCAACGCAAAAGCAAGAAACCACAGGAGAAAAGGCUGGUAAAACUGUCCAUACAGAAAUUAAAAGCAACUAAACAAAGUAUCUUAAUACACAUGGUAAACUGAGGGAAGAAGUAUUUGCAGCACACGAAGAAAGCGAAUUUCCCAACUUCUACACAUCAGUAAGGAAUCGGCUGCCAGCUUGAGACGCACAGGCAGGGACACGCGCCACAGUGAAUAGGACGGCGGGGCCUUUCCACGGCGCGGCAGAAGCCCGGGAGCUCCUGACCAUCUCCACGGCAGCCUGCAACACUCAAGGCUGGUGCUCCCCGCACUGGUCCCAGAGUGCAGAACAGGCAGAGGAAGGGACGGGAAACUGGUAACACCUUUUCGGAGGGCAGCUUGUCAAAUAUCCAAAUUGAUCAGAACCAUAAGAUAGGGUGAAAAAAAAUCAAAGUAAAAAAUUCACCCUGGAGACCAUAUGGUAGCCUAGAACUCUGAUCUAUCCAUUCUGCCUCUAGAUGUUUACCCCAAAGAAUGCAAAGUAACGGCUGAGGAAAUCCUAGACGCCAUGUUCCCAGCAGUGCUGUCCUCCACAGCCAAGAGGCAGCGACAGCCACAUCCGCCAGCAGCCCAGCCAGUGCGGAAAGGAAACGCGGUCGGUGUGCACGGCACGAUGGUCCUCAGCCUUAGAAGGCAGAGAUCCUGCACUUUUGGAGGCCCAGGCAGGCGGAUCACAAGGUCAGGAGUUCAAGACCAGCCUGGCCAAUAUGGUAAAACCCCAUCUCUACUAAAAAUACGAAAAUUAGCUGGGCGUGGUGGUGCACACCUGUAGUCCCAGCUACUCGGGAGGCUGAGGCAGGAGAAUUGCUUGAACCUGGGAGGUGGAGGCUGAAGUGAGCCAAGAUCCAGCCACUGCACUCCAGCCUGGGCAGCAGAGCGAGACUCCGUCUCAAAAAAAAAAAAAAAAAAAA